UACGGGGGGAGCAAGCGUUGUUCGGAUUCACUGGGCGUAAAGGGCACGCAGGCGGCUCGGCAGGUAGGGCAUGAAAUCUCCCGGCUUAACUGGGAGGGGCUGUCCUAAACCGCUGGGCUUGAGGGCGGGAGAGGGAAGUGGAAUUGCCGGUGUAGUGGUGAAAUGCGUAGAGAUCGGCAGGAACACCAGUGGCGAAGGCGACUUCCUGGUCCGCCCCUGACGCUCAUGUGCGAAAGCUAGGGUAGCGAACGGG
rnacentral:rRNA from 1 species